CAAGAACGGAUGUAUGGGAUUC
rnacentral:miRNA from 11 species